rnacentral:rRNA from 1 species
GCCAGCAGCCAUAUCACCCUGCAACUCACAACUGGCAACCCACUGAAGCUAAGCAGGUGUGAGCCUAGUCAGUACCUGGAUGGGGGAGCUCCUGGGAAAAAAACAAUUUGCUGCUGGAA